UGGGGAAUAUUGGACAAUGGGCGCAAGCCUGAUCCAGCAAUACCGCGUGUGUGAAGAAGGCCUGAGGGUUGUAAAGCACUUUCGGCGAGGAGGAAGUGUGCUGGUUUAAUAAACUAGCAUGUUGACGUUACUCGCAGAAGAAGCACCGGCUAACUCUGUGCCAGCAGCCGCGGUAAUACAGAGGGUGCAAGCGUUAAUCGGAAUUACUGGGCGUAAAGCGUGCGUAGGUGGUUACUUAAGUCAAAUGUGAAAGCCCCGGGCUCAACCUGGGAACUGCACGUGAUACUGGGUAACUAGAGUAUGGUAGAGGAUGGCGGAAUUUCCGGUGUAGCGGUGAAAUGCGUAGAUAUCGGAAGGAACACCAGUGGCGAAGGCGGCCGUCUGGGCCAAUACUGACACUGAGGCACGAAAGCGUGGGUAGCAAACAGGAUUAGAUACCCAAGUAGUCCCUGAGCGGGCUGGCAAGGCGCAU
rnacentral:rRNA from 1 species